GUGCCAGCCGCCGCGGUAAUACGGAGGGUGCAAGCGUUAUCCGGAUUCACUGGGUUUAAAGGGUGCGUAGGAGGGCAGGGAAGUCAGUGGUGAAAUCUCCGGGCUUAACUCGGAAACUGCCGUUGAUACUCUCUGUCUUGAAUCCCGUGGAGGUGAGCGGAAUAUGUCAUGUAGCGGUGAAAUGCUUAGAUAUGACAUAGAACACCAAUUGCGAAGGCAGCUCGCUACACGAAGAUUGACUCUGAGGCACGAAAGCGUGGGGAUCAAACAGGAUUAGAAACCCUCGUAGUCC
rnacentral:rRNA from 1 species